AGUGAACGCUGGCGGUAGGCCUAACACAUGCAAGUCGAACGGCAGCACAGGAGAGCUUGCUCUCUGGGUGGCGAGUGGCGGACGGGUGAGGAAUACAUCGGAAUCUACUCUGUCGUGGGGGAUAACGUAGGGAAACUUACGCUAAUACCGCAUACGACCUACGGGUGAUAGCAGGGGACCUUCGGGCCUUGCGCGAUUGAAUGAGCCGAUGUCGGAUUAGCUAGUUGGCGGGGUAAAGGCCCACCGAGGCGACGAUCCGUAGCUGGUCUGAGAGGAUGAUCAGCCACACUGGAACUGAGACACGGUCCAGACUCCUACGGGAGGCAGCAGUGGGGAAUAUUGGACAAUGGGCGCAAGCCUGAUCCGGCCAUACCGCGUGGGUGAAGAAGGCCUUCGGGUUGUAAAGCCCUUUUGUUGGGAAAGAAAUCCAGCUGGCUAAUACCCGGUUGGGAUGACGGUACCCAAAGAAUAAGCACCGGCUAACUUCGUGCCAGCAGCCGCCGUAA
rnacentral:rRNA from 1 species